CGCUUCCAUUCGGGCUGCGGCGACGAGGAUCCUGCGUCCGGCUGGGCAGCAGGGGCUUCGCCGGCUCGUCCACACCCAGGAGCAUUCCGGAUCCACCCGUGCCUUGGAGGAAGGGUACCCUACAGCGCAAAUCCAGCAGAAGAAGGAGGAGCUGUAUGAUCUCAUCGCCGACGCCUAUGCCAAUUCCGUUACUUCCCAGGGUGACAGAUAUGUGCUCAAGGUUCUCUCCACACAAAUCAAGCCGAGACCACGGGACCCUCAGUGGUGUGAGAUAACUACAAUCAAGAAGGCGGGCGAGUGGGCUCUGGGAGGUUUUUUUGUUGUUGGUGGUAUCAUAAUUCUUUGUGGCCUUGCUCAGGGUGUG